AGGACGAACGCUGGCGGCGUGCCUAAUACAUGCAAGUCGAACGGUCUUUCUAUGGAAGCUUGCUUCCACUGAGAAGAUAGUGGCGAACGGGUGAGUAACACGUGGGUAACCUGCCCAUAAGAGGGGGGAUAACAUCCGGAAACGAGUGCUAAUACCGCAUAGUUUUCUUGAUCGCAUGAUCGGGAAAGGAAAGACGGCCUUUGUGCUGUCGCUUAUGGAUGGACCCGCGGCGUAUUAGUUAGUUGGUGAGGUAACGGCUCACCAAGACGAUGAUACGUAGCCGACCUGAGAGGGUGAUCGGCCACAUUGGGACUGAGACACGGCCCAAACUCCUACGGGAGGCAGCAGUAGGGAAUCUUCCGCAAUGGACGAAAGUCCGACGGAGCAACGCCGCGUGAGUGAAGAAAGGUUUUCGGAUCGUAAAACUCUGUUGUCAGAGAAGAACAAGUUGGAGAGUAACUGCUCCAGCCUUGACGGUAUCUGACCAGAAAGCCACGGCUAACUACGUGCCAGCCGCGGC
rnacentral:rRNA from 1 species